CUACGGGCGGCUGCAGUGGGGAAUAUUGCACAAUGGGCGCAAGCCUGAUGCAGCCAUGCCGCGUGGAGGAUGACGCAUUUCGGUGUGUAAACUCCUUUUAUAUGUCAAGAAAAUGACGGUAGCAUAUGAAUAAGCACCGGCUAACUCCGUGCCAGCAGCCGCGGUAAUACGGAGGGUGCAAGCGUUACUCGGAAUCACUGGGCGUAAAGGACGCGUAGGCGGGUUGGAAAGUCAGGUGUGAAAUCCUACAGCUUAACUGUAGAACUGCACUUGAAACUUCUAAUCUAGAGUAUGGGAGGGGGAGAUGGAAUUAGUGGUGUAGGGGUAAAAUCCGUAGAUAUCACUAGGAAUACCUAAAGCGAAGGCGAUCUCCUGGAACAUUACUGACGCUAAGGCGUGAAAGCGUGGGGAGCAAACAGGAUUAGAUACCCCCGUAGUC
rnacentral:rRNA from 1 species